GUAGGGUGGGCAAGCGUUGUCCGGAAUUAUUGGGCGUAAAGCGCGCGCAGGCGGUCCUUUAAGUCUGAUGUGAAAGCCCACGGCUCAACCGUGGAGGGUCAUUGGAAACUGGGGGACUUGAGUACAGAAGAGGAAAGCGGAAUUCCAAGCGUAGCGGUGAAAUGCGUAGAGAUUUGGAGGAACACCAGUGGCGAAGGCGGCUUUCUGGUCUGUAACUGACGCUGAGGCGCGAAAGCGUGGGGAGCAAACAGGAUUAGAUACCCUGGUAGUCCACGCCGUAAACGAUGAGUGCUAAGUGUUAGGGGGUUUCCGCCCCUUAGUGCUGCAGCUAACGCAUUAAGCACUCCGCCUGGGGAGUACGGCCGCAAGGCUG
rnacentral:rRNA from 1 species